rnacentral:rRNA from 1 species
GACGAACGCUGGCGGCGUGCUUAACACAUGCAAGUCGAGCGGUAAGGCUCCUUCGGGAGUACACGAGCGGCGAACGGGUGAGUAACACGUGAGUAAUCUGCCCCUCACUUCGGGAUAACCACCGGAAACGGUGGCUAAUACCGAAUACGACCAGUCUUCGCAUGGGGUGCAGGUGGAAAGUCUUUUCGGUGUAGGCUGUGCUCGCGGCCUAUCAGCUUGUUGGUGGGGUAAUGGCCUACCAAGGCCUCGACGGGUAGCCGGCCUGAGAGGGUGACCGGCCGCACUGGGACUGAGACACGUCCCAGACUCCUACGUGGGGCAUCAGUGGGGAAUAGUGGACAAUGGGCGAAAGCCUGAUCCAGCAACGCCGCGGGAGGGAUGACGGCCUUCGGGUUGUAAACCGCUUUCAGUACCGACGAAGCGCCCUGUCGGGUGGUGACGGUAGGUACAGAAGAAGGACCGGCUAACUACGUG